UGCCUGGGGGCCUGGGUGAAGCUGGGCAGCCUGAAGCCGCAUCUCUUUCCGGUCACCGUAGUGGGCCAGCUCAUCUGCUCUGUGGCCCAGGUUUUCAUCCUGGGCAUGCCCUCCCGCAUCGCUUCCGUCUGGUUCGGGGCUAAUGAGGUUUCAACAGCCUGCUCCGUGGCUGUCUUUGGCAAUCAGAAACUCCAAGAGGAGGAGGAGAGCAACACCAGCAAAGUGCCCACUGCUGUGUCAGAGGAUCAUCUCUGAGAGGAAGGUGGUGACAACUCAGGGAACACGAACACCCCACCUUUUCCUUCAGCACAGCUCUCACUGCCAGCACAAAGGGCUUCGCUAGAGAUGUUUUUGGAGGGAAUCAGUGGGACUAUUUGUGGCAUGGAUGGCCUAUUCCUCCUAGAACCCACGUAAGAGCUUGGAUGAUUUAGUUGGAGA
rnacentral:sRNA from 1 species